CCUACGGGUGGCAGCAGUGAGGAAUAUUGGUCAAUGGACGCAAGUCUGAACCAGCCAUGCCGCGUGCAGGAAGACGGCUCUAUGAGUUGUAAACUGCUUUUGUACGGGGGUAAACGCAGAUACGCGUAUCUGUCUGAAAGUAUCGUACGAAUAAGGAUCGGCUAAAUCCGUGCCAGCAGCCGCGGUAAUACGGAGGAUUCAGGCGUUAUCCGGAUUUAUUGGGUUUAAAGGGUGCGUAGGCGGUCGGAUAAGUUAGAGGUGAAAUCCCGAGGCUCAACUUCGGAAUUGCGUCGGGUACUGGUUGGCUAGAGAGUAGUUGAGGUAGGCGGAAUGUAUGGUGUAGCGGUGAAAUGCUUAGAGAUCACACAGAACACCGAUUGCGAAGGCAGCUUACGA
rnacentral:rRNA from 1 species